UACGAAGGGGACUAGCGUUGUUCGGACUCACUGGGCGUAAAGCGCACGUAGGCGGAUUUGUUAGUCAGGGGUGAAGUCCCGGGGCUCAACCUCGGAACUGCCUUUGAUACUGCAAGUCUCGAGUCCGAUAGAGGUGGGUGGAAUUCCUAGUGUAGAGGUGAAAUUCGUAGAUAUUAGGAAGAACACCGGUGGCGAAGGCGGCCCACUGGAUCGGUACUGACGCUGAGGUGCGAAAGCGUGGGGAGCAAACAGG
rnacentral:rRNA from 1 species